rnacentral:rRNA from 1 species
CGUAGUUGAUCAUGGCUCAGGACGACGCUGGCGGCGUGCCUAACACAUGCAAGUCGAGGGGUGAUUUCGGUCAUCACUGGCGCACGGGUGAGUAACGCGUAGAUCAUCUGCCCCUAUCACUGACAUAACAGUUCUAACGGACUGCUAAUAUCAGAUGAGGUGAGCAAUCAUCAAAGUUUCGACGGAUAGGGAUGAGUCUGCGUCUGAUUAGGUAGUUGGUGAGGUAACGGCUCACCAAGCCGACGAUCAGUAACUGGUCUGAGAGGACGAACAGUCACACUGGAACUGAGACACGGUCCAGACUCCUACGGGAGGCAGCAGUGAGGAAUAUUGUACAAUGGGAGGAAUCCUGAUGCAGCGACGCCGCGUGCGGGAUGAAGGGGCUUAGCCUCGUAAACCGCUGUCGGAGGGGACGAAUGGUACAUUUGAUGUACUGAGACGGUACCCUCAAAGGAAGGAUCGGCUAACUACGUG